rnacentral:lncRNA from 1 species
AUUCAACGAUCAUUAUAAAAUAUAACACCUGAAGGUGGAGAUUGAGAGAAUUAUAGAGGAGGUGGAAGGUUGGACUAAAGGAGCUCUGGCAUGGGGUAUGUUAUAGUCACUUAUGGCGGCCAGCGUGUGGCAUACAUAGCGGGAGAGAAAUACGAGAUGGCACCAGGGACCUAGCAAACCGGCUGAAGAGGUGCUUAAGGAGGUUAUAUAUAGAGAUUGUACGAUUGACUUUCGUGUGGGUAAGUUUAAAUCAGUUCAUCGAUUGCAGCUAGAUAACCAGUGCUCGACAACAUGGAGUUAGCAAAUCAACAUGGAGUUAACCAGGGCUAUCAAAUGCUACCCCAUUCCUUAAGGAGCAUGAGUGAAGAAGCUUCUCAUUAGUUUGAACAAUUUACCUAAAUAGGUUCUUAUUUUUUUCGAUUUCCAUCUGUAAGACUGCUUUUAUUUUU